rfam:Dipodomys ordii contig_52383, whole genome shotgun sequence.
GGGAAGGUGGCCCAGUAGUAGAGUGCUUGCCUUGCAUGCAUGAGGUCCUGGGUUCGAUUCCUCAGUACUACCA